CUAUAAGAAAUGCCUAAUUAGACA
rnacentral:siRNA from 1 species